rnacentral:tRNA from 1 species
AGAGAGAUGGCUGAGCGGCUUAAGGCGUUGGUUUGCUAAACCAAAGACGAGAAAUCGUCCAUGGGUUCGAAUCCCAUUCUCUCCA